rnacentral:rRNA from 1 species
UGAGUAACACGUAUCCAACCUGCCGUCUACUCUUGGACAGCCUUCUGAAAGGAAGAUUAAUACAAGAUGGCAUCAUGAGUCCGCAUGUUCACAUGAUUAAAGGUAUUCCGGUAGACGAUGGGGAUGCGUUCCAUUAGAUAGUAGGCGGGGUAACGGCCCACCUAGUCUUCGAUGGAUGGGGUUCUGAGAGGAAGGUCCCCCACAUUGGAACUGAGACACGGUCCAA